GAAUAUCUCAAAAAUAAGAGCCUUGAUCAAGCUCUUUUUGAUCACUCUUCUCUUCCCAACUUCGAAGAGAAGAGAGAGAGAGAGAGAGAAAUAGUAAAGGAUAGCAAGGGAUAGAGUGUUCUACUCCACCAUCUAAGUAUGUGAUGAAAAAUAGUAAGGUUGGUGUGG